GGCCGACUUAAAUUCUACAGUUUCGAUUGCAAUUUCAGAAGCUUCUAAAGCCCUAACAGUUCCAUUCUUUUGCCGAUCGAUCCUUUCUUCGAUAUCAAGGGGAGCUUUAUUAUGGAGAGACCUGUAAGGCCAAGGCAAACGCAAAGAGUAGUUUCAUCAAGUGAUCACAUGAUGAAUUCAUUUGCACCAACCCUUCUCAUAUCUCACCAAAGAUCUUCAAGAUUUCCGAAGUUGGAGACCAUUUUUGAGGAAGGAUGUGAAAGCAAUGAUGAAGUUGUUGUGCCAAAGAGGGUGUUGUAUCUUCUGCCUUGUGUCUUGUCUUUGUUAUUGUAUUUCUUGACAUUCAAAGAUUUGGCCUGAGAUUUGUAUAUAUUGCAAUAUCAGAAGCUUUUGUUCAUAUCAGAAGAUUUGAAUGGACCUGCUCAAGAUAAUACCAAAAUUGGUUCAGCCCUUGUAUUUAAUAUUUAUGGGAGGAGGAGUACAUGUCAACAUGCAAGAGGAUUUUGAUUAUACAUCUUUUGAGACACAUUGAUUUUUGUACAUUAUAUACUACAAUCAAAUAUUUC